CAGCAUCCAGGCAGCCGUUGCUCUAUGUGGAGAAUAUAGAAAACAGCCGCAGCCACAGUUGCAUGCAUUUUUUAGUAAUUACAUAUUUGCACUGUUAUUAACUACAGAAUGGCCCUGCCAGCAGCAGCCAGUCGGCGCUCGUUCAUCUCUUUUUGUUCUUUGUGUAUCAGCAGAAGCAGCGGCUGCGGGGCCAGACCUUUGCAUUGCAUAAUUAAGCGAAUAUGAAAGUGCGUAAUGGAUGCGGGUACAAGCAGAGCGGAGCGGCGGGGAACAUGUGGAAAUGGCACAUGGGGGAACGGGCAUGAACAGACAACCGCAGCAGCAGCAGAAUACACAUGCAGAGAGAGAGAGAGAGAGAGAGAGAUAAAGAGUGAGGGGAAGAGCGAGAGUGCACACGUGCAGGCACCUAUGCACCGUUAGGAGACGGCUGCUGCACUUUCUAGACUUUAGACUUUGCAAACUGCCAAGGACAGCGGUCGGUGUUCGUGGUUUCUUCCCCGUGCCAGUGCCAGGCUAACUAACAAUCUGUUUUGUGAUCGUAUCAAUAAACGCAUUCAGCGGAUUUCAAUUAAUUUUUCAUGCUGCAAAUCGAGGAGAGCGCUUUGAAUGUAUAUUUUUUAUAUAAAUGAAUAAAUAACAUUUAUGCAGUGC
rnacentral:lncRNA from 1 species